rnacentral:rRNA from 1 species
CGACCGGCGCACGGGUGAGUAACGCGUGUGCAACCUGCCCGGCACAGUGGGAUAAUCCGGAGAAAUCCGGUCUAAUACCGCAUGACGCGGGAAAGGCGCAUGCCUUUUCCGCCAAAGGGGGCGACUCCGGUGCCGGCUGGGCACGCGUGACAUUAGCUAGUUGGCGGGGCGACGGCCCACCAAGGCGACGAUGUCUAGGGGUUCUGAGAGGAAGGUCCCCCACACUGGUACUGAGACACGGACCAGACUCCUACGGGAGGCAGCAG